rnacentral:tRNA from 1 species
GGUUAAGUAGUCUAAAUUUAAGGAUAUUAAAUUGCAAGUUUAAUGGUGAAAAUUUUCUUUAACUU